AUGACUAGGGAUAACCUUAGGAAGAGACACAUCAUCAAACCCCUUGAUUGUGUUUACUGCUUGGAACAAGAGUCUUGUUCUCACCUAUUUUUUGAAUGUAUAGUUGCUAAACAUCUCUAGGCCCACAUUGAGGAAUAUUACUCUAGUCAGAUUGGCUCAUCCUUCGAAUCUGUUGCCAGAUUCUGGAUUGCUACCAAAAAGUGCUCAGUUUUAAACACUGUUAGCCCAGCUGUCCUUUGGUGCCUCUGGAAAUAUAGAAAUGUUAUGAUUUUCAGUAACACCUCCUGGAUUUCCAUUCCGCAGGUCUUGAGGUUGAUCAGGAACAUGGUGAGGAACUAGGCGAUUCUCUCCUCCGGAUCGGACAAGGACAAGUUGAUGAGCUUCGUGGAAACCCUAACAAGAUCCCUCCAGAAACCGUUGGUGAUCACUUGUGGCUGA
rnacentral:rRNA from 1 species